UUAUCAAUGACAGAGAGAGAGACAGAGAGAGAGUCGGAGUCCAAUGGGCGAAGAAGGAGAAAAACAAACUGUACCUCCUCUUCCUCCUUCCGCGGCCGCUGAAGAAACUAGGGCUCCGGAAUUACAAUCAGAUCCUCCAACUCCAUUCGAUCCCAGUCGAAUGAUUGGUAUUAUUAAGAGAAAGGGGUUGAUCAAAGAGCUGGCAGCGGAGUACCACGCUCAGUGCCUUUAUUAUUGUCAGCAACUUUUGGAUCUACAGAAAAAUUGCCAAGAGCCAUUUGUUGAAUUAAGAGCUGCUACUGCUGCUGAUGAUUCAAGAAAAGAAACAAUGAGGCCCCCCAAACGCCUCAAGAAGGCCCGCUGAUAAAAUCAUACUGUUUUGUUUUAAUAUAUCAACAUUCUCUUGGAUGUUUUGUCUUUUGAUGGAUUACUCUAGGUUGGAAAGGUCACUGUCACUUUGAUUUCACCAAAAUGAUUCAGUAUAGUUCCUGCUUGCAAUGCCUUGUGUCCUCUGCCUGCUUGUUCACCAUCUUGUAGAAUUUGAAAAAAAAAAAAAAACUCUUGUGGCUUUCCCGGCACCACUUUGGGUUCAGUCAAUCUCAAGUGAGGCACAUGUAUCUUUAUAACCUGUACUGUUUAGAGGGAAAGUUGUAUAGAUCUUUAACAAUUGUCUAUCGUGCCAUGAUCAAUAUGUUGGUACUGUCAUCCAUUACUCAGGAAAAGAAUGGUGCUAUGCUAGUCUAGCAUCUUUGAUAAUUUUGGUGCAGUAACCUUUUCUGGUUUUGUGGGUUUUAUGAAUGAUUUGUUACUUAAUGGUAGAGCAGUGUUAUUGUAGACUGAUUUGUGGUUCCAAUCCGUGCUUGGACUGGUGUCCUUUGAUGCGAAUUUGCAAACUCGGACUUGGUGUAUGGCUUGUGUGAGUCACAGUUUUCUUGCCAUGCUGUUUCUGGCUAUUCGUCAGUGGCAAUGCAAGGAAACUGAAGGGCCAAUUCUAUACAUAUGAGAAUCGUUCGGGCA